rnacentral:rRNA from 1 species
UACGUAGGGUGCGAGCGUUGUCCGGAAUUAUUGGGCGUAAAGAGCUCGUAGGCGGUCUGUCGCGUCGGUCGUGAAAACUUGGGGCUUAACCCUGAGCUUGCGGUCGAUACGGGCAUGACUGGAGUUCGGCAGGGGAGACUGGAAUUCCUGGUGUAGCGGUGAAAUGCGCAGAUAUCAGGAGGAACACCGGUGGCGAAGGCGGCAUCCUGGACCGACAUUGACGCUGAGGCGCGAAAGCCAGGGGAGCAAACGGG